rnacentral:lncRNA from 1 species
GCAAUGAUGAGCAGGGUUAGGGUCCUGCCAGCCUCUCCCCCUGAGGGUUCACUGACUUGGGGUUUUUUCUCUGUGUGCCUCUUUGCUUUCUUAUGCUUCAGUCAUAGCUCUGCUUUCUGGAACACAUGGCGUGAAUCCUCUACCCGUCUACAAAGACGGCUGUGCAGAUUCUGUCCCAAAUCACAAUCUGCCUUCUUCUAAAGUUGGACACUCAUGAUUUCCUCACGAAGACGUUAUGGGUUCUUGUCUCAAGAUUCCCAUCCCUAUCUCUUUCUAGGGCCGUGAUCACAAAGAUCAGUGCUUCUCUUGAGAGGACUUCCAGUCAAAGGUGUAAAGUCACAAAUGGAUAGAAUUGAGCAGGGACGGAGGCAACGGUGCUGAGAGUGAGCACCUCCCUUUGUGGACAUCAUGGUAUUAGGUGUCGGCUCAUCUGACACCCAACCCCAUUCAAAGCAGCAGACCCAUCACCUUGUUCCUGUUGAUUGGCCGUCGUGUAUGGGAGGGUGCGGCUACAUGCAGGCUCACAGCAGAACGUGUGGGAGCUGGUUCUCUUCUUCCCCCGUGUGGAUUCCAGGGAUACAACUGAGAUUACCAGGCUUGGCAGCACAUGCCAUUACCGGCUGGACCACCAAAUCAGCCCUUGUUCCUAUUUAAAUAACAAAAGACCCCAUUUUUUUGCUCCAAAAAUUACAGGCUUGUUUCAUAACAUUCUUUUCAAGUUUUCUAACCCAGAAAACUGGGUGGGCCCCUAGCAUCACAGAGCAUUCAAGGACUUUCAGAGCCCAGUAAAGCUGGACCCAAGCCCAGGCUAUCCCAUCUCUUAACAUUGUAACACAAAGCUAAAGACUACUUUGUUGAGCUUAUUCUCUGAAACAAGAGCAUUGAUUUCCACUGAAGAUUAUUGUGACUAUUAAAUUGGAUGAUAAUACAAUGGUAGGUGUUCAGGAGAUGUUAGCUCUAAGUCAGAGAGCUGUGGGCUCUCGGAUACUAGUCCUGACUCACGUUCCUCAAGACAGCACUAGAACUCAGAAUUCUGCCCUCCAUGUUCUUUCAAGCUAAUGUGUACACCAUAGAGAGCAUGAAGACAUAAGUCUGAAAAUGAGGUGCCUAUCCAGGCCUGGUGGUACACAUCUGCAAUCCAAGCACUGAGACCGAAGAAGAAAGAUCCUGAGCUUGGGGCUAGCCUAGGCUCCUGGACAAAACUGUCUCAAAAAGGGCUGCAAGUAUGACUGUUUAAUAUAGGGACCUUGAUUUUAUUUUUUACUUAGUGAAUGUUCAACAUACAUUUGCUGUGUAUCAGGCACCCCCUAUCGACAGAAAAGACAUGGGAAGACACUCCGUUUGUUCACGGGACUUGGAUCAUUUCAAAACUUCUCUUUGUGCAUAAACCUAGCUCUAUUUCAGUUUGGCUUUUCUGGCUGGUUAGAGUCCAGUCUGGCAUGAGUUCCUGACCAUGGCAAUUUCCCGGGCUGUCUAGAAGAAGCCACCCCGCAUUCCUGCCAGCAAAGAAUGGUCUUUCCCAGCCAUUCUAAGAGUUAUAAAGGGCUAUCUCCCUGUUAUUUAAACAGGUGACUCCUGGGAGACUCUGACAUAGUGGACCACCAUCUCAUAUGUUCUUCUGCUGUUGAUGUAGUCUUUGGCGAGAGGUCUAUUCAGAUGUCAUCUCUCCUUCUGAAUGGCCUUUGUUGUUGUCUUAUUGCUGUUUGGGGCUGAGUUCUUUGUGUGUUUUCUCAUACAAGCUCUUUAACAGAUUAAGCGGUUUACAAAUAUUUUCUCCAAAUACAUGCUUUGGGGCUGGAGAGAUGAAUCAGAGGACCUGAGUUCGAGUCUCAGCUCUCUCACGGCAGCUCACACCACACUGUCACUCUGGUUCCAGAGGAUCUGAUGUCCUCUUCUGCCCUCCACAGCACUGCACACACGAGGUUUAUAGAGAUACAUGUAGGCAAAGCAUGUGUAUGCGUGUGAUGGUUUGUAUAUGUUUCCCCAGGAGGGGGGGGUGACACUAUUAGAAGGUGUGGCCCUGUUGGAGUAGGUGUGUCACUGUGGGUGUGGGCUUUAAGACCCUCACCCUAGCUGCCUGAAAGUCAGUCUUCCACUAGCAGCCUUCAGAUGAAGAUAUAGAACUCUCAGCUCCUCCUGCACCAUGCCAACCUGGAUGCUGCCAUGUUCCUGCCUUGAUGAUAAUGAACUGAACCUCUGAACCUGUAAGCCAGCCCCAAUUAAAUGUUGUCCUUUAUAAGACAUUGGUCAUGGUGUCUGUUCAUAGCACCAAAACCCUAACUAAGACAAUACAUAA